rnacentral:miRNA from 1 species
GUUGCUUGGGGUAUUACUAU